rnacentral:rRNA from 1 species
UACGUAGGGUGCGAGCGUUAAUCGGAAUUACUGGGCGUAAAGCGUGCGCAGGCGGUUCUCCAAGUCCGUUGUGAAAGCCCCGGGCUCAACCUGGGAAUGGCAGUGGAAACUAGGGGACUUGAAUCUGGCAGAGGGGGGUGGAAUUCCACGUGUAGCAGUGAAAUGCGUAGAGAUCGAUAGGAACACCAGUGGCGAAGGCGGCCUCCUGGGGCACUCUUGACGCUGAGGCGCGAAAGCUGGGGGAGCGAACGGG